UUCCUGGUUGCGUAGAGGGCUGUUGCCUGGGACAGUGAUCUAGUAAUGCUAUUGUACACUGUGAAGAUUUGUCCCUGUGAUUGGUUUAAUAAACAAGCUGACCGGCCAAUAGCUAAACAGAAUAAAGAUAGGCAGGAAAGUCAAACUCAGAAUUCUGGAAAGAAGUCAGGCAAAGUGAGGAAUCACCAGCCAGACACAGAGGAAGCAGGAGAUGAAUGUGUCAUGAUAAUAAAGACAAUACCUGAU